GGAGGAGCCUGGGUGAUCGCCGGUGCGCAUGCGCCGGAGGAAAGUCCGAACACCGCAGGGCAGGGUGCUCCCUAACGGGGAGUCGCGGCGACGCGAAGGAAAGUGCAACAGAAAGUACACCGCCUUCGGCGGCCCCCCCCUCGCGGGGGCUGCUGCCGGGGGUAAGGGUGAAACGGUGCGGUAAGAGCGCACCAGUCCCCCGGGCGACCGGGGGGCUCGGCAAACCCCACCCGGUGCAAGACCAAAUAGAGGGGCGUUUGCGGGUGGCCCGCCCAAGCCCCCGGGUAGGUCGCACGAGAUGCCGGGCAAUCGGCAUCCCAGAUGAAUGAUCGUCGCCCGCCGCCGGGCAACCUGCUGCGGGAACAGAAUUCGGCUUACGGAUUGCUCCGACC
rnacentral:RNase_P_RNA from 1 species